UACGGAGGUCCCAAGCGUUGUUCGGAUUCAUUGGGCGUAAAGGGUGCGUAGGCGGCGCGGUAAGUCGGGUGUGAAAUCUCGGGGCUUAACUCCGAAACUGCAUUCGAUACUGCCGUGCUUGAGGACUGGAGAGGAGACUGGAAUUUACGGUGUAGCGGUGAAAUGCGUAGAUAUCGUAAGGAAGACCAGUGGCGAAGGCGGGUCUCUGGACAGUUCCUGACGCUGAGGCACGAAGGUCAGGGGAGCAAACGGG
rnacentral:rRNA from 1 species